rnacentral:rRNA from 1 species
GAUGAACGCUGGCGGCGUGCCUAAUACAUGCAAGUCGAGCGAACAGACGAGGAGCUUGCUCCUCUGACGUUAGCGGCGGACGGGUGAGUAACACGUGGAUAACCUACCUAUAAGACUGGGAUAACUUCGGGAAACCGGAGCUAAUACCGGAUAAUAUAUUGAACCGCAUGGUUCAAUAGUGAAAGACGGUUUUGCUGUCACUUAUAGAUGGAUCCGCGCCGCAUUAGCUAGUUGGUAAGGUAACGGCUUACCAAGGCAACGAUGCGUAGCCGACCUGAGAGGGUGAUCGGCCACACUGGAACUGAGACACGGUCCAGACUCCUACGGGAGGCAGCAGUAGGGAAUCUUCCGCAAUGGGCGAAAGCUUGACGGAGCAACGCCGCGUGAGUGAUGAAGGUCUUCGGAUCGUAAAACUCUGUUAUUAGGGAAGAACAAAUGCGUAAGUAACUAUGCACGUCUUGACGGUACCUAAUCAGAAAGCCACGGCUAACUACGUG